UUAAGAAUCUUGCACAAUGGGCGCAAGCCUGAUGCAGCGACGCCGCGUGAAUGAUGAAGGCUUUAGGGUUGUAAAGUUCAGUAAGCAGGGAAGAAUAAGCAAGAGGUAAUAUUUCUUGUGAUGACGGUACCUGCCUAAAGCCCCGGCUAACUACGUGCCAGCAGCCGCGGUAAUACGUAUGGGGCGAGCGUUGUUCGGAAUUAUUGGGCGUAAAGGGCGUCUAGGCGGGAAAUUAAGUUAGGUGUGAAAGCUAUGGGCUCAACCCAUAAACUGCAUCUAAAACUGAUUGUCUUGAGUUCGGGAGAGGAGAGCGGAAUUCCAGGUGUAGCGGUGAAAUGCGUAGAUAUCUGGAAGAACACCAGUGGCGAAGGCGGCUCUCUGGCCUAGAACUGACGCUGAAGCGCGAAAGCGUGGGGAGCGAACA
rnacentral:rRNA from 1 species